rnacentral:rRNA from 1 species
GACGAACGCUGGCGGCGUGGAUUAGGCAUGCAAGUCGAACGGUAUAAACCUUUCGGGGUUUAGAGAGUGGCGAACGGGUGAGUAACACGUAGGUAAUCUACCCUCAAAACGGGGACAACCCAGGGAAACUUGGGCUAAUACCGGAUGCGUGCAAACAAUGUUUUGGCUGUUGUAAUUAUUCACGGAAGUGGAUAGUUAUGAGAGUUCAGAGCAUAAUUUGCCUAGAAGGUGGCGUAAGCUGCCGUUUGAGGAUGAGCCUGCGUCCUAUUAGUUAGUUGGUGAGGUAAUGGCUUACCAAGGCGAUGAUAGGUAGGCGGCCUUAACGGGUGGUCGCCCACACUGGGAUUGAGAUACGGCCCAGACUCCUACGGGAGGCAGCAGUCGAGAAUAGUCUACAAUGGUCGGAAGACUGAUAGUGCGACGCCGCGUGACGAUGAAUCCCUUCGGGGUGUAAAGUUCUUUAUAUGUGAGCAGUGCUUCUUAUAUUAACAGUAUGGGGAGAGAGGAUAUU